UACGUAGGGCGCAAGCGUUAUCCGGAAUUAUUGGGCGUAAAGAGCUCGUAGGCGGUUUGUCGCGUCUGCCGUGAAAGUCCGGGGCUCAACUCCGGAUCUGCGGUGGGUACGGGCAGACUAGAGUGAUGUAGGGGAGACUGGAAUUCCGUGGUGUAGCGGUGAAAUGCGCAGAUAUCAGGAGGAACACCGAUGGCGAAGGCAGGUCUCUGGGCAUUAACUGACGCUGAGGAGCGAAAGCAUGGGGAGCGAACAGGAUAG
rnacentral:rRNA from 1 species